AUUGAACGCUGGCGGCAGGCCUAACACAUGCAAGUCGAGCGAGCGGCGGACGGGUGAGUAAUGUCUGGGAAACUGCCUGAUGGAGGGGGAUAACUACUGGAAACGGUAGCUAAUACCGCAUACCAUCAGAUGUGCCCAGAUGGGAUUAGCUAGUAGGUUGGGUAAUGGCUCCCCUAGGCGACGAUCCCUAGCUGGUCUGAGAGGAUGACCAGCAACACUGGAACGUAGUCAAGGUCCAGACUCCCACGGUAGGCAGCAGUGGGGAAUAUUGCACAAUGGGCGCAAGCCUGAUGCAGCCAUGCCGCGUAUGAGAAGAAGGCCUUCGGGUUGUAAAGCACUUUCAGCGGGGAGGCGUUACCCGCAGGAGAAGCACCGGCUAACUACGUGCCAGCAGCCGCGGUAAUAC
rnacentral:rRNA from 1 species